UCUUGAGAAAAUGACGUUGACUUUGAGACCUACAGGAUGACCCGGAGUGUCCAGGAGAAAAAUAUUCAAGGCAUCUAAGUCCUUCACCUACAUGAAUGUGUUUAAUCCUUCCAGAAACUCUAUGAGGAAGGCUUUGGACUCCAGCGAUCUCGCUCCAGAGUUCGUACUCCUCAUCACAAAGGUCUACUGGGACUCGGGGCACUCUAGGCGGGAACAGAGGAGACCUGGAUGGCUGAAGGAUGGUGAGUAAUGCAAAAGGUGGCACAAGAGAAGCAGGAAAGAUAAUGCAUUUGGGACUCC
rnacentral:lncRNA from 1 species